GACGAACGCUGGCGGCGUGCCUAAUACAUGCAAGUUGAGCGCUGAAGGUUGGUACUUGUACCGACUGGAUGAGCAGCGAACGGGUGAGUAACGCGUGGGGAAUCUGCCUUUGAGCGGGGGACAACAUUUGGAAACGAAUGCUAAUACCGCAUAAAAACUUUAAACACAAGUUUUAAGUUUGAAAGAUGCAAUUGCAUCACUCAAAGAUGAUCCCGCGUUGUAUUAGCUAGUUGGUGAGGUAAAGGCUCACCAAGGCGAUGAUACAUAGCCGACCUGAGAGGGUGAUCGGCCACAGUGGGACUGAGACUCGGCCCAAACUCCUACGGGAGGCAGCAGUAGGGAAUCUCCGGCAAUGGACGAAAGUCUGACCGAGCAACGCCGCGUGAGUGAAGAAGGUUUUCGGAUCGUAAAACUCUGUUGGUAGAGAAGAACGUUGGUGAGAGUGGAAAGCUCAUCAAGUGACGGUAACUACCCAGAAAGGGACGGCUAACUACGUGCCAGCCGCCGCUGUAA
rnacentral:rRNA from 1 species